rnacentral:tRNA from 1 species
GUCGCCGCGCUGGGCGGCGCCCAGCGCGCCCCGCAAGAGCGGCACGGCGACCCGGCGGUAGCAGCGGACGAUCGUCUCCUCGGCGGCGGCG